AAGCACUAGAAGAUGCUUUUAAACUGUGAUCAGUUAGAUCACAGCAAGCAAAGGCUGUGAAGGGAUCGUGCUGUCUGUUCGGGUGCUGUCAGAAUGGCUGAAAAGGAAGUUUGUCCUUCCAGUAACCUACAGCUCGUAGAUUGAAAGGAAUGUUUUCACCUGAAUCCUGUCAGACUUAAAUGAGAACAGAAGGAAGCAAAGGGCUAGAAAGCUUUGAGUGAAAGUGAAUAACUGCUUUUAUGUAGGUAAAAGGAGCAUGUAGUUCAGGAGGAGCUAUAAAAUGUUUGGUGAUAUAACUGGUUUAGUGUGAGGUUUCUGGUAUGGUGGUGUAUUUUGCUUCAAGGUGGCAGAACAGCAGUGUAUGAAUUAAAAGGUUGUAUGGCUGAAACAAGUGAAAGAAAUCUCCAUCCUGAUGCCAGUUAUUCCUACCUUAGUGGCAAUGUGGCUGUUUCCUAUUGUGUGGUUCUAGAGGAGGAGAACCUAUGCCAAGUGCACUUUGCUGCAAGUCCUCAGAUGACUAUGAUGUCCAUGGAAGACCAAGAAAAAGAUGUUGUUUUCCUAGGUUGGCGAUUGAAAAUUGUGUUCCCUUUCCAAAGGAACAUUCAUCUGGUGUCAUGUCAGAAGAUCUGA
rnacentral:lncRNA from 1 species